CGCGCGCCCGCCUCGCGUUCUGAGCCGGAGCAAGAGGCGCUUCAGAGAAGGAGGGACCGAUCUGCAGGAGCCGGCCGCCCAGCCGAGCUGCAGUCGCCGCUGCUGCUGCCGCUGCUGUCGCUGUCAGAGCCGGUCCAAAGAGUGACACCUUCGCGAAAAACAGGAGCUACGAAACAGUUGCACACGCAGUCUUCGGAUCCGGUCACCAUUCAUGAGCCCAAGGCUGUGAGACAUGUUCCAUGUGCCAAGGGGAGUUCUCACCAAAUCUUCUGAGGCUGUCCUAGACAUACACUGUUCGGACUGAGUCAGCAUUACCAGCUUAUCCAAGAGAAGUACCAUCCUAUUCGUUAACAACGUCGAAAGUAGCCUACUUUAAGAGGAAAUAUGCAGAAGAAGAAGAUUUACAUCAAGAUUACCAUGGGUGUUUUCCAAAACACUUGAUAUUACCUGAAGACAGGACCUGUAUCCUCAAACUUUCCCUGGAGAAGCUCAGGUUUCUUGAAGACCCAGAAACCUACUUAAGAAGGUCUGUGUUAAUUAACAAUUUGCUGAGGAAGAUACACCUAGAGACGGAGAAAGAGAGCUAUGAAUACUUUAAGGAAUCUCCCUCCUAUAAGACUGCUUAUUCGGAUACAAGAAAACGGCUGAAGUUUAUGGUACAGGAGUGCUGUUCCCAGUCUCUCUACUAUGAAGAGCUGCAUUCCUACCACAUUGUGCCUUAUACUUCGGAGAACCCCAUCUACGGGAUGGGCUACACUGGUGACCACUUGGAGCAAAAUUCUCAGUUGCUUAUUUAUAAAAUGAAUUAAAGUAACCGUUACGUUCAUUGAUAUUUUGUUUCUACAUGCCUGAACUGUUUAUAGUGAAGAUGUUAAUAUAAGACACUAAUUACCAGUGCACUUGAUCUCAGUGAUGAGACGCAUGCCGAACCGAGGGGAGAGAACCAUGGGUAUUACCCAGCAAUCCUUAGUGCCAUCACGUUGAAUGGAACAUAUACCCACUUUAUCAUAAAGCAGUGCAUCGAUGCAUUAGGAGAAAAGGUUUUUAAAACUUUUCUUUUUGAGAUAGGAAGGGAUUGAUCUCUGGUCAAUCUGAUAGGUUAAAAUUCUUAAGUCACCACCCCCACCUAAAUUCUGCCACUCUUAUUGAAAUAUAUAUAAUUGAUAAUGCUGUGGCCCUGAGGAUGAGGGGUGGAAUUAAUCUAAUUUUAUUCACACAGUGAGAGUUCUGUCCUUUCAUAAAUUCUUUGACUUGUCAAACACUGUGCCAAAUGAUUUGUCGUUAGUAUCCUUUAUCCGUGAGUUACAGAUGGGGCCAGCAUAGCAUAUACUGAAGCUGCCAUGCUCAGUGCGGCAACUGGGUUACCCCAAGCUCACCCACUUUCUUCUUUUUGUUGAUUAUUCUUAUAAUCUGAACAGACUUUCUCUUUAAGAAUGAAAUGUAAUAAAUGAGCAUCCCAUAUAGGAUCAUCUUUAAGUUCUACAGGUUGGUUAAAAUUUGUGCUGGGCCUUUAAGAGUUUAAAUUUUAUUUAUGAUCUUGCUUUUUUUUAAUAGGCUGUGAAGCUCAGGAAAGGGUAGGCAGGCAAAAUAUGUUUUUAAGAGGUUAAUAAUUUUUUUAAAAAACCUGCUCUGGAAAGUUGGUGAGAAUAAUAGAAUUUAGACGUGAUGUUAUUUCUUCAUCCCACUAAGAGCUCAUGGAAGGUACAGGGAUGGAACACUGCACUGAUUUUUGAACAGUAGUCGAUCGCUUACCAUGUAACAACAUGUCUGAGAAUGCCUUUGGGGAGAUAUGUGGAUAAGUUCUUAUGUUUUACAGUUCUAAGGGUGAAGAUGUAACAAGUUGGGUAGAUUUAUGAAAUUGUUGGGAGUGAUUCAUCGUGUUCUUGAGGUUUGAGUGAGACGUCUGACCUCAGGGUCUGAAGCUUUUGUCCUAUGGAGUAUUUCAUUUAAAGAACUUUUAUUGAUAAAAACAGAUUGGGAAAACUAGGUGCCAAAGGUGUAUUAAGAAAAUACCAAAGACUCAAAGAUGAGUGUUAGGGAGACUAUGACAGUGAAGGCCAGCAAAGACAAGGUUUUGAUUCAAGGACUGCAUGGGUAAUGUGGAAACAUUGUUAAGGGCUUCAUAACGACUCGUUUAUUGGUGUGCUUCCUAGUGCUUUUUGUUCAGAAUGAUGGCAAACAGGAAUACGAUGCUAAAUUCAGAUAUCAAGCUUUUGUAACGCAAAUAUGAUGACUGUCAACACAGUGUCAUCCCUAGCUGAAGUGCCAUCUUGUAACCAGGCUAGCUGCAUCUUCCUUUGCUUUUAUUUUUGAUACCACAUUUGGUUCCUGUGAUGAAUCGCCAAGGUGAUUUUGCACUAAGAAUAUGGACUCUCUAACUAGAUUGCCCUGAGCAAGGCUACAAAGAUACACAAUAGGUCCAAGUGUUGAGUUUAUAUUUAAUUGCUCAAUCAACAUUAUGAAAAGUGCUUUAGAAUAAAGUACAAUUUAUAAUAAGAGGCAAAGGCGUACAGACAAGUUAGUAUGAAUGGCAAGAUGCCUUUGAAAUCCAUAUAGAAAUAUUUAAAAAUUAGUUGGAGAGUAAGAUUUGGCACAAAAGUUUAAUAGUUUUAUUUCAUUGCUUAUAAAAGACCACAUUUCUCAGAAAACUCCUUCCAAAAAUAUAGAUUUAUUUAAAAAUGAGUCUAGUCCUAAACUCCAAAUUUGAUAGGAUAAUUAUGCCAUCAUAAGUCUAAAAAUAGAAUCAGUUCUCUGAUGACUUUUAAAUUGUUACUGAAAGAACACCUGGCAUGACUUACAAUAGCCCCUCUAGGAAGAGGCCACCAAUGCUAACAGGUAUGACAUUUUUUUAAAAAACACAUGUUUAAAUUGGUUAAAUAUAGAAAUACACGUAUUUGGGGGUAGAAGAGAAAAAAAAAAUCACCGAGAAAGUAUAAAUUUGUAAUGUUUCCUGUAUGUCAGAAACCUUAAUCAAAGCCAGAACUCUGGGACAAAGAACCAGUAACAGAUGUAAAAAUUCAUUUUAUUUCAAGACAUCAUUACUGGAGCGCUUUGAUCUACACAUUCUUAUAUAAGCUGUCUUAGAAGCCAGUGGUAUUUGUGAUUCUACUUUUAUUUAAAUAUGCAUUGAUUUAAAAAUGAAUUACUUAAAAAUACUUUUUAGUGCAAAUAAUUUCCCCCAAUAAACUGCUCAUAGAUAAGGAU